rnacentral:ncRNA from 1 species
GUAAAGACGAUGACGAGAAAGAGUAACCCUAUCAACAUCCAAAGAGAGUCUGUGCUGGUGGAAGCAGAUGGUGGUGAUCGGGUGAAGUGCAUCUCUGAGUUAGAGAGUUGAAUAAAGUAGACUCUUAUCGGUUAACACCCGUUAGCGUGUCAAAGGUCGUUUGUUCUAUUCAGUAGGAAGAAGACGAUAAAGAAAAGUGGAACCACGCAGUAGCGUCUUUUAU